UACGUAGGGGGCUAGCGUUGUCCGGAUUUACUGGGCGUAAAGAGCGUGUAGGCGGUCAGGUAGGUCUGCUGUGAAAACUCGAGGCUCAACCUCGAGACGUCGGCGGAAACCGUAUGGCUAGAGUCCGGAAGAGGAGAGUGGAAUUCCUGGUGUAGCGGUGAAAUGCGCAGAUAUCAGGAAGAACACCCGUGGCGAAGGCGGCUCUCUGGGACGGUACUGACGCUGAGACGCGAAAGCGUGGGGAGCGAACAGG
rnacentral:rRNA from 1 species